AAGAAUAAUUCCCAAACUUGUUGAUCUUCUUGAGAAUGGAGCUAUAUUGAACAAGUCAUUUCAACCACACGAAGCUCAUGUUCCUUAUAUUCUACAGAUAAAAAUCUUUCAUAUAAUAAUAAAUCAAUUCCACUUCAUGGUUCAUCUCCCAAUUAAUUUCUCAAUUUUCCUUCAUCUCAACACAGGAAUGAAGACACCAUUCCUAGAAAUUUAUGCCUGGAUCCUACUGUGAAAAAAGUCAGUCGUUGUGAACUUGAAGUUGAUGUAAUUGCUGAAGACAUCUUGAAUCAAAUAAAUGUUGAAAGUUGUAUUGGUCAUAAUCCUGGUAUAACUGCUAUGUGAGAAGAUGAAAGACAACGAAGACGAGAUAUUGGACUAUCUUCACAAGUUGCUCUUCCUGUUUCACAAGGUAGUGAUGAUGAACAUGAUGAAGAUAUCGAUGAAGAU